rnacentral:rRNA from 1 species
CCUACGGGAGGCAGCAGUGAGGAAUAUUGGUCAAUGGACGAGAGUCUGAACCAGCCAAGUAGCGUGAAGGAUGACUGCCCUAUGGGUUGUAAACUUCUUUUAUAUGGGAAUAAAAUGUUCCACGUGUGGGAUUUUGUAUGUACCAUAUGUAUAAGGAUCGGCUAACUCCGUGCCAGCAGCCGCGGUAAUACGGAGGAUCCGAGCGUUAUCCGGAUUUAUUGGGUUUAAAGGGAGCGUAGGUGGAUUGUUAAGUCAGUUGUGAAAGUUUGCGGCUCAACCGUAAAAUUGCAGUUGAAACUGGCAGUCUUGAGUACAGUAGAGGUGGGCGGAAUUCGUGGUGUAGCGGUGAAAUGCUUAGAGAUCACGAAGAACUCCGAUUGCGAAGGCAGUUCACUGGACUGCAACUGACACUGAGGCUCGAAAGUGUGGGUAUCAAACAGGAUUAGAUACCCUUGUAGUC